CGCCUCUUGAUUUCUAUAAGAGGUCCCGCCUGCCCUGUGACAAUGUUUAACGGCCGCGGUAUUUUGACCGUGCGAAGGUAGCGUAAUCAUUUGUCUUUUAAAUGAAGACCUGUAUGAAAGGCAUCACGAGAGUUUAACUGUCUCUAUUUUCUAAUCGAUGAAAUUGAUUUUCCCGUGAAGAAGCGGGAAUAAUACCAUCAGACGAGAAGACCCUAUGGAGCUUCAAACACUUAGAUUAAUUUUUAAAAAAUUUUUUCCCCCAAGGGCUAAAUCACAUAUAUUUUUUUAAUUUAACUGUUUUUGGUUGGGGUGACCAAGGGGAAAAAUAAAUCCCCCUUAUCGAUUGAGUACUAAGUACUUAAAAACUAAAGCGACAGCUUUAGUUGAUAAAACAUUUAUCGAACAAUGACCCAGAAUUUACUGAUCAAUGAACCAAGUUACCCUAGGGAUAACAGCGCAAUCCUUUCCUAGAGUUCCUAUCGCCGAAAGGGUUUACGACCUCGAUGUUGGAUCAGGACAUCCUAAUGGUGCAACCGCUAUUAAGGGUUCGUUUGUUCAACGAUUAAUAGUCCU
rnacentral:rRNA from 1 species